UCUCAGCUGCUUUUUGUCAGCCAGAGUCACAAUUUAUUUUAUUUUUUUGCAGGAUGGUAGGGGAAGACACAUCCCUGAUUGGCUCGCCCUGACAUCCUUACCCUAAUC